rnacentral:rRNA from 1 species
AACGAACGCUGGCGGCAUGCCUAACACAUGCAAGUCGAACGAUCUCUUCGGAGAUAGUGGCGCACGGGUGCGUAACGCGUGGGAAUCUGCCCUUGGGUUCGGAAUAACUUCGGGAAACUGAAGCUAAUACCGGAUGAUGACGUAAGUCCAAAGAUUUAUCGCCCAAGGAUGAGCCCGCGUAGGAUUAGCUAGUUGGUGAGGUAAAGGCUCACCAAGGCUACGAUCCUUAGCUGGUCUGAGAGGAUGAUCAGCCACACUGGGACUGAGACACGGCCCAGACUCCUACGGGAGGCAGCAGUGGGGAAUAUUGGACAAUGGGCGAAAGCCUGAUCCAGCAAUGCCGCGUGAGUGAUGAAGGCCUUAGGGUUGUAAAGCUCUUUUACCCGGGAUGAUAAUGACAGUACCGGGAGAAUAAGCUCCGGCUAACUCCGUGCCAGCAGCCGCCGUAA